rnacentral:misc_RNA from 1 species
UGUGGGAGGGGGCUUGCUCCCGAUAGCGGUGUGUCAGAUGGAACUGUUUUGACUGACGCAUCGCUAUCGGGAGCAAGCCCCCUCCCACA